AGUAAUGUCUGGGAAACUGCCUGAUGGAGGGGGAUAACUGCUGGAAACGGUAGCUAAUAUCGCAUAACGUCGCAAGACCAAAGAGGGGGACCUUCGGGCCUCUUGCCAUCGGAUGUGCCCAGAUGGGAUUAGCUAGUAGGUGGGGUAACGGCUCACCUAGGCGACGAUCCCUAGCUGGUCUGAGAGGAUGACCAGCCACACUGGAACUGAGACACGGUCCAG
rnacentral:rRNA from 1 species